GCCUAGACAAUGAAGCCAUGGAAGCGACCUCUGCUGCAAAUUUUUCAAGCCUCCCUACGCCAUCUCGAAGGCUAUUUCAGAUAAGGCGGUGGAA